UAAAAAAAGAAAUUUAUUGACAAGAUUCAUUACAAGUACCACUGUAAAGCCAUUUUAUUGUAAACUAUUAGCAAAAAGUAACACGCAUAAGCAGCAAACGAACAAAAACACUGGAAAUACUACUUUAUUUUACAGUAAGUAAAUCAAAACAGUGUACAGUAUUCCUGGUUUAGUGUCAACAAUAUGUUGUACAACUAUGAUAAAACCUAAACUCGUAAAUGUAUUACUCUUAUUAAACUUUCUAUUUUUAAACUCCAGUUCCUUUUCAAUAAAUGCAAAAAUGCCAUUUGCCUUCUUAACUACACAUUGGAUCCGCAUACCAACUUCUUCUGAUUCAAGUCAAGUUUAUUGUCAUUUAGUAAGGAUAAAAUCUACAUAUGAAUUAUGCUUUAUUAAACAAAGUGCAAAAAUUAAAUAUUGAAGAGUACAGACCAGUUUAACCAGUGACAUUUUGAAUGUGACACAGCAGCAAAUUCAGAAGCCUAAUGGGAAACUGUUUCCCAUCCUGGGUGUUUUGUCUUUAUGCAUCAGAGUCUCCUGCCUGAUGGUAGGAAGUUAAGGAGGGAGCUCGAUGGAUGGGUGGGAUCCUUAAUAAUACUAAGGGCCCGCGAACACAGUGCUCCUGAUAUAUGUCCCCGAUGAAUGGUAAGGAGAUCCUAUGAUCCUCUUGACCAUUCUCACAAAUCCUUCGAAGGGACUACCAGUCCAAUGUUCUGCUGCUCCCAUACCAGAUGGAAAUGCAACUUGUUAGGAUGCUCUGAAUGGCACUUCACCUCUUGGAUUCCCCAAAUUUCACUCCUACGAAGUCUCUCUCCAUUUUGAUAUUAAACUUGCCUUUUGGUUCCAGAAGUGCAUUACCCCAAAUAGUCCCUAAGUCCCUAUUCUAUCCCUAUAGAAUAUCCCUAUAAGUCCCUAAUAGUCCCUAUUCUAUCUAUGUCAGAAUGCAGAAUCACGGUGUCACUCUCGGAACACAUUCUUCCACCCACGUAUGUAUCAUCUGCAAACUUGGAAACCUUACAUUUCAUUCCUGCCUCUAAUUCAUUAAUGUCAAUAGUAUAUAAUUGAGAGCCAAUCUCUCCACUCUUGUUACAUCCAAACCCAGCCUGAUACGGACCAAUGUAUUUCAAUGUUCUGUCUUCUAUGUCACAGCCAGUGUUCAAUCCAUGCAGCGUCAUGGCCUGGAAUGGGAACACCAAUGCCUUUAAAUGGAAAGUCCUACAAAAAAGGUAGUGGAUUCGGCCCUGUACCUCACAGGUAAAACCCGCCCAACCAUUGAGCAUAUCUACAUGAAACGCUGCCGUAGGAAAGCAAAAAUCUUCACCACCUGGGCCAUGCUCUCUUCUUGCUGCUGCCAUCAGGAGGAAGUUACAAGAGCCUCAGGACUCGCACCACCAGGUUCAAGAACAGUAACUACCCCUCAACCAUCAGGCUCUUGAACAAAAGGGGAUAACUACAUUCACCUGCCCAUAUAUUGAAAUGUUUCCAUAACCAGUAACCUCACUUUAAGGACUCCUUAUCUUGUUAUUUCAUGUUCUCGUUACUUAUUGCUAUUUGUUUAUAUCUACAUUUGCACAGUCUGUUGUCUCCUGCACUCUAGUUGAUCUUUCAUUGAUCCUGUUAUAGUUACUAUUCUAUAGAUUUAUCGAGUAUGCCUGCAGGAAAAUGAAUCUCAGGGUUGUAUAUGGUGAUAAUAAUUUUAUUAUUAUUAUUAUAUAAUUUUAUUAUUACUAUUUUAUUAAAAUUAUUAUUUUAAUAAUAAGCUUACAUGGAAAUUUACUUUGACCUUAGGUCUCAGGCUCUUAAUUUAUGCUUUAGCCUUUUAAGUAGCAUCUUGUCAAUACAGGCUAAAGAAAGAUGCUUGAGUUGUGAUAUGUGAAGAAUUAGAUCUGGUAGAUCAUCUCCAAGGAUUGGCAUGUUGAAGUGGUGGAGAGGCUUAUGAAUUCCUGAGAUCCUGAGAGCAAUGCCAUCUGGAAUCUAGCUACUGGUAUGGUCACCCAUGGUGGUAAGGCCAAGGAGCGGGCUCCAGACAAAGAGCAGUCCAACCAAGAACUUAACAGUGGUGCUGGUGGAAGAUGGUGAUGCAUCACGACAGCAGUGAAGGCAGAGGAAGGCUCAGUGGUGAAGGGUCUCUAGACAUCUUACGUUCCAUACCACUGGACCCUGGUCCUGAUCUGUCAAGGACCAUGUGGUGGCUGCCCCUGUAUAAGCCUACCCACAUUACACAAAGUCACAUGCAGGCAUUCUCUAUUCAAGGAAAACACACUAGCAACCUCCUUGGAAAAUAUCAUACUUGAUUUAAUUGCACUGUAUAUAUAGCAAGGAUCACAAUGCUCACACUUCUCUCAACCUUGCCACUUUUCAUUAAAUCUCUGGUAGAUAGAUGAACCUUUCACAAGAUGCUUGAAUGUGAGUCUAUGGACCAUUCAGAAGGUGUAUAGGUGUGAGUCUGGACCUUUAAAAAGAUGAUGGAUGUGGAUUUAUGGACCAUUCAGAAGAUGAUGGAUGUGGAUCUAUGGACCAUUCAGAAGAUGAUGGAUGUGGGUCUUUGGUCCAUUCAGAAGAUGAUGGAUGUGGGUCUUUGGUCCAUUCAGAAGAUGAUGGAUGUGGAUCUAUGGACCAUUCAGAAGAUGAUGGAUGUGAGUCUUUGGUCCAUUCAGAAGAUGAUGGAUGUGGAUCUAUGGACCAUUCAGAAGAUGAUGGAUGUGGAUCUAUGGACCAUUCAGAAGAUGAUGGAUGUGAGUCUUUGGUCCAUUCAGAAGAUGAUGGAUGUGAGUCUUUGCUCCAUUCAGAAGAUGAUGGAUGUGGAUCUAUGGACCAUUCAGAAGAUGAUGGAUGUGGAUCUAUGGACCAUUCAAAAGAUGAUGGAUGUGAGUCUUUGGUCCAUUCAGAAGAUGAUGGAUGUGAGUCUUUGGUCCAUUCAGAAGAUGAUGGAUGUGGGUCUUUGGACCAUUCAGAAGAUGAUGGAUGUGGAUCUAUGGACCAUUCAGAAGAUGAUGGAUGUGGAUCUAUGGACCAUUCAGAAGAUGAUGGAUGUGGAUCUAGGGACCAUUCAGAAGAUGAUGGAUGUGGAUCUAUGGACCAUUCAGAAGAUGAUGGAUGUGGAUCUAUGGACCAUUCAGAAGAUGAUGGAUGUAAGUCUCUGCUAUUGUUCUAAUAAAUUGCAGACUAUAUUUCAAGCCUGGUAAUUCCACAUACUAGCAAUUAAAAAGAGCUGCUGCAGAAAGUCGGGUGGGCCAAGUGGCAAGUACAGGAGGGAAAUGGACAGUCGAUAUUGAUUCGUUUAACAGCCUGUUUUCGCUCAGGCUCCAGCAUCUUUUAGUUUCUGGUGUUUGCAAUUCCACAUGCUAACUAUCCUUUCCCAUGAGCCAUGUUUAACCUAACUUUUACAGUUACCAAGAUAUAUUACAAAUCCCACUGUAAAACCACUUUGUUGUAAAAUGUUAGAGAAAAAGUAACAAGCAUGAGCAGUAAGUAAACAACAGGCUGGAGAUGCAAUGUGCCACCACACUGUUUGGGUGGCCUGUACUGUAUGUAACUUCAACCAGGGUCUUUUUGCCCUUGCAGUUCCUUAACUCUACCCACAAGGAUUCCACAUCUUCCAAUCCUAUGUCACCUCUUUCUGAGGAUUUUAUUUCAAUCUUUUUACCAACACAACCAUCGCACCUCUGCUGCCCACCUGCUUAUCCUUUCAAUACAAGGUCUAUCUUUGAAUGUUAAGUUCCAACUAUGAUCUUCUUUCAGCCACGUCUCAGUAGUGCCCACAACAGUGCUACAAGAUCAUCUACCUUAUUCCAUAUACUGCAUGCUUUCGAAUAUAACACCUUCAGUCCUGUAUUCAUCACCCUUUUCACUUUUGCCCCCAUGUUCACCUCAUCUCACUGACUGCAAUUUUGCCCUAUCAUCUUCCAGUCCUUCCCCACCGUCUCACUAUACACUGCAUCGAUUCAUAUACCAACUGCCCUAUUAUAUACUGUAUACCAUCUGUAACCCUAUUAUUCUGGUUCCCAUUGCCCUGCCAACUUGAUUUAAUAUCUACCCUACAGCUCUAUCAAACCUGCCCACAAGGAUAAACCCUGCAAAAAUUUAAAAAGAGAAUCUUUGUUUCUCUUCCCACAACACUACAUUUUUCUUUUAGUUUUGUAAGUUUCCUCCAGGAGGACCACAACCUUGUCGUGGUUUGGAGGCUUGUGUGCCUCAAUGAUCCAGAGAGCUAUGUUGGCUGGAGUCAGGGCUUUACGCUUUAGCUCUUGGUAAGGUCACCCAUGCCAAACAGGUCGAAGGGUAGAGAACAGACUAAGAGGGGUCCACCGGUCCUCCAGGUUCAGGGGUUCAGCUCAAGGCUAACGACUCUGACUGAUAAAUCAAAAUUAUUACAGGCAAUCAGAAUCCUUCUCGAUCUGAGUGCAACGGUAUUACUGAGUCUCCAUCAAGGUCUUGCAUGACUGGCAGCAGUGAAAACUGAGAGGAAGCUACUGGCCCAAUGAAAGAAGCCCUGAAACUGCCACAGAUGGAGUAUCUUCAUUGCUGCCCUAAACACCAGCGGUGUAACAAAUAGUAAAUACAAUGCUGCCUAGCCUGCUGUGUUCCACAUAUAUAGUCCAAGACCUUGAAUGACAUGUUCUACAAAUUGAUGGUACUUUGAGCUGGAUAUUGAAGCUGGAGUUUUAAAGUCAAAUGGAAUCAACCCAUCGAAUGAAUCAAGACUGCAAUGCACAAAGAGUUUCAGGAACAUAUGAACAUAGGACGCGGAAGCAAAAGCAGACCAUUCAGCCCAUCAUCCCUGUUCAAUCAUUCAAUAAUAUCAUGGCUGGUCUUUUACCUUAGAGCCAUAGUUCUGAACAGACCCAAUUCCCAUAAUAAAUAAAAACAGAUCAAGUCUUGAAGGUGUUCAGCGGCUGGGUUUCUGCAAUGAUUUGGGGGAGAAGAAAUUUCUUUUCACCUUUUCUCAGACUGAUCCCUUACUUUGAGACUGUCAGGAACCCCAACAAGUCCACAUCUACCAUGAGCUAAUGAAAGAGAAGCAUUACAAAUUGUAGGAGGCCUAUAUUCUGUGCUGCGCAUUUAUUAUGUGUAUAUGUUAACUAGUCACAUUAGUGGGGAGCUGGCAAAAGCGAAGGGAAUAAGUUCCCAGCUCCCAGCCCUGGAGGACACCUACAGCUCACACUGCCUAAGGAAAGCUACACACAUUUGUAAGGACAAUACAUACCCACGCAAUCAUCUGUUUGAACUUCUUCCAUCUGGCAGACAUUAUAAGAUUUUCUAUGCCCGCACUUCCAGACUGAAAAAUAGCUUUUUUCCCAGAGCUACAAUUGCUCUGAACCAUUCGAUCAAGCAUCAUCCAUAAAUUUGUUAUAUUGCUACUUUUAAUACUGGUUUUACGGUUGUCAUGCAUCUGAGUUGCGCUUUUGUACUGCUGGACAUUGCUUGUACUGGCUGGUUACUUGAUUUUAUUUAUUGUUUAUUUAAUUUAUUUGUUGUUUUAUAGCAUUGAGUACAAGAGCUGUAAAGUCAUUGUCGCUGUAUUGGCGCAUGACAAAUUGUACUAUCAAUGACAAUAAAGAUAUUUCAAGUUACUUAUUGAUGCUUAUUUUGUGACCAUCUGUAGCUUGGGAGCAUAGAGGUCAUAUCUUUGCUGACCGCUGAGAUAACGCUCAAUAAUGCUUAAUUGUAUGUUUGCUAAUUGCUAAUAAAGGAGCAGAAUAAGGAAUUCGACUCUUUGGGGCAGUGGCGCGUCACGCAAGUAUAAAACACUGUGGAGUUGCAGGCUGACGGCAAUUGUUUUGUUUUGAUUUUGGAUCCAUUUUGCCACUGCACAAACCUUCCCAGAGCUUGCUUCCCAAAGAAUGAAUUCUUUUUUCAUUUAAACAUGGGCAUAAGGGAAUGUCGAUAGGAUAAGAUUGUUGGUCCAUUGACUCAACUGGACACUAUUUUUAAAACACUUAGAACAUUAUCAUUUCCAAUCCCCAGCCAUUAAUGGUGAAGUUACUAAAUUUACUAGCCGAUCUUUUUAGUAUUUCUUUCAGGAAUUUUUAUGUACUGAAAAGCUAUUUGCAUAAUUACUAAAUCAUUAUGUUCACGACUAUUUUGACAUACUAAUUAACUGAAAAAGCAAUUUUCAAUGCCCAAGGUAAUGAAAGCCAAUAAUCAAUAUGGCUUUUGUUUAGCUACGUUGCCAUCUUCCAACGAUCUUCGGUCUUGCAGACCAAGAUCCAUCCGUUUCUCGAUACUUCCAAUGAUCAGACUAUUCAUGCUGUAUGUCCUAGCCUCCUUAGUAGUCUCAAAACACAUCACAUUAUGUUUAUCAGUGUUAAUACUAUCAGCCAUUUCUCAAAUAUGCACACAAAAUGUUGGAGGAGCUCAGCAGGUCAAGCACCUUAAAACUAUGCCCCCUUGUGUUAGCCAUUUCAUCCCUGGGGAAAAGCCUCUGGCUAUCUAAAUGAUCAAUGCCUCUCAUCAAGUUAUACACCCGUCAGGUCACCUCUCAUCCUCCAUCGCUCCAAGCAGAAAAGACCAAGUACACUCAACCCAUUCUCAUAAGGUAUGCUCUCCAAUCCAGGCAACAUCCUUGCAAAUCUCUUCUGCACUCUCUCUAUAGUAUCCAUGUCCUUCCUGCAGUGGGGUGACUAGAACUGAACACAGUACUCCAAGUGGGAUUUGACCAAGGUCUUAUAUAGCUGUAACAUUACCUCACGGCUCUUGAACUCAAUCCCAUGGUUGAUGAAUGCCAACACACCAUACGCCUUCUUAACCACACUGUCAGCAGCUUUGAGUGUCCUAUCAACACUGACCCCAAGAUCUCUCAGACCCUCCACACCACCAAGAGUCUUACCAUUUAUAUUAUAUUCUGUCUUCAAAUUGGACCUAACAAACUUACUGAAAUCAUACCCCAUUCCCAUUCUGAUCGAUAUAGUUAUGUUUGGAUUCUCUCCCAAACACCCGUGCAUAUUCAAGCAAUCUUCCAAGAACCACAGCCUUGUCAUAGGGUUUGGGGGCUUGCUUGCCUCAAUGACCCGGAGAGCUAUGCUGGCUCUUGGUAGGGUCAUCCAUGCCAAACAGGUUAAAGGGUGGAGGACAGACUAAGAGUGGUCCACUGGUCCUCCAGGUUCAGGGCUAACAACCCUGACUGGUAAAACUAAAAUGUUUUGGAAACAGCAAUGAAUUAUCCUAUAGCUGUGUGAGACAGUCUCUUCCCGGGAUUUGCGUGACUGACAGCACUGAAAACCGAGAGGAAGCUACUGGAGGAAGUCCUAAACACCACCAAGUUGAGAAGAAAGGCCAGCUCUAUCAUCAAGACAGCACACCAUUGGACGCCUGAGGGGUGGAGGAAACAUGGGAGACCAAAGACAACUUGUUGCCGUACCGUAGAGGCAGAAACGAGGACUCUGAACCACACCAGGGUCACCUUAAAGAAGGUGGCCAAGGGCAGACAGAGGACUUCCAUUGCAGCCCCAAACGCCAGCAGUGUAACAGGCAGUAACUUUUCACAUCCAUCCCAUUCUGAUCCAUACAUGCAUGGAUAGGUUUUACUUUUGGAUUCUCUUGAAUGUCUGUGCCUGUCCAAGGAUGCUAAAUCGGCAAAGGGAAUAGUGGAUUUGUUGUGCAUUAUCAGUGCUAUGCAUUAUUGUAUAUUAUCACAUAUAUUGUUAUAUGUGUUAUAUCUGAUAAACACAUACAACAUUACACCCACAUCAAAUUUGCAUCCACAUGGAAUCUCUCAGUAACUCUUUGAAUGCAUUACAAAAGGUUGUAUGAUCAAAAUCCAUUUCACCCCUUAGCCCUGAAGUAUUAUCUGCUCAUAUGUGCCAACAGGGCUGGACUGGUGACUAGAUGUAACUGCG